ACCAUUCAUAUCCUGGAGAGUGUUCUUAAUAGUCUGUUAUUAUUACACAAACUUUGGGAAUACUUUCGAGAUAAGGAUGGC
rnacentral:pre_miRNA from 1 species